CUUUUCUUUUAUUCUUGUACUCCUUUCAGACCAUAAUACAUCUACUACAAGAUAGAGUUCUCACUAUUCGUGAAAAUGCAAGGCUCCAAGGUUUUUCGGACUAUUACAAGUUAAUAGGUCCAAUAAAAGAAAGGUAUAGCAUUGACUAACAUCUAACCAUUUGGUAGAAGAUCUAAUUUUUGUGUAAGGCUGAUGAAUAAUGACCGAGGAACACAACAAAGUUUCAAAUUGCCAGCUCAAAUAUUAGUUGAUUUCUGCAGGUUUCCAAACAUAUGGGCAUUGCGAUUAGUACGUGAAUUAUUACAAUGGAAUACUGUAAGAUGUCUUUAAACAGUCAAUGAUAAAACCUAAAUUUGAUGCAUAUGUUGUCUAUUUGUGUUUCAGGCUGUUGAUUCUGCAUUAUGUUGGACUGCAUCUUUCAUUUCAGGAAGAUUGACGAAGUGUUGAUGAGGCUCUAAAGCACCCCUACUUCUCGCAAAGCAUGGCAGUGAAUGGGCUGAUGUUCAUGGUUGCAGUGGGGUUCAAUGUUGUUGCUAGGAUUUACCCAGGUCUGUGGUCUGCAAUGUUCAUGGUGUAAACCCGAACUUUCUAAAAAUUGGAGAAAAAUGGCCGCAGAAAGGCAAAGUAGUCAGCAAGUUUUCUCUAAAGGUGCAUGCUUCUUAGGAAAAAUGGUUUGGGCGAAAGGCUACAGGGAUUUGAUAGACCUGUUAGCAAAGCACAAAA